CCCUUAGAUGUUCUGGGCCGCACGCGCGCUACACUGAAUGGAUCAACGUGUUUUCCCUUCCCGAGAGGGACGGGUAACCCGCUGAACCCCAUUCGUGGUAGGGAUCGGAGCUUGCAAUUGUUCUCCGUGAACCAGGAAUUCCCAGUAAGCGCAAGUCAUAAGCUUGCGUUGAUUACGUCCCUGCCCUUUGUACACACCGCCCGUCGCUACUACCGAUUGAAUGGUCCGGUGAAAUCCUCGGAUCGAGCCGUGGGGCAACUCCGGUUCGAGAAGUUGAUUAAACCUUACCAUUUAGAGGAAGGUGAAGUCGUAACA
rnacentral:rRNA from 1 species